UACGUAGGGUGCGAGCGUUGUCCGGAAUUAUUGGGCGUAAAGGGCUCGUAGGCGGUCUGUCACGUCGGGAGUGAAAACACGGGGCUUAACCCCGUGCCUGCUUCCGAUACGGGCAGACUAGAGGUAUGCAGGGGAGAACGGAAUUCCUGGUGUAGCGGUGAAAUGCGCAGAUAUCGGGAGGAACACCUGUGGCGAAAGCGGCGCACUGGACCAUAACUGACGCUGAUGCGCGAAAGCUAGGGGAGCAAACAGG
rnacentral:rRNA from 1 species